rnacentral:rRNA from 1 species
UCCUACGGGAGGCAGCAGUGAGGAAUAUUGGUCAAUGGAGGCAACUCUGAACCAGCCAUGCCGCGUGAAGGAUGACGGCCCUAUGGGUUGUAAACUUCUUUUAUAGAGGAAGAAACUUGUCUACGUGUAGACAACUGACGGUACUAUACGAAUAAGGAUCGGCUAACUCCGUGCCAGCAGCCGCGGUAAUACGGAGGAUCCAAGCGUUAUCCGGAUUCAUUGGGUUUAAAGGGUCCGUAGGCGGGUCUUUAAGUCAGUGGUGAAAGCCGACAGCUUAACUGUCGAACUGCCAUUGAUACUGGAGACCUUGAGUACAAAUGAAGUAGGCGGAAUGAGUCAUGUAGCGGUGAAAUGCAUAGAUAUGACUCAGAACACCGAUUGCGAAGGCAGCUUACUAACAUGUAACUGACGCUGAGGGACGAAAGCGUGGGGAGCGAACAGGAUUAGAUACCCUGGUAGUCCACGCCGUAAACGAUCAUCACUCGCUGUUGGCGAUAUACUGUCAGCGGCCAAGCGAAAGUA